rfam:Glycine soja cultivar W05 scaffold669_25, whole genome shotgun sequence.
UUUGGGAAAUGAUGCCAAAGAUUCAAACAGAGGCACCAGCUCUGCUGAAUUAUUAUUAUUUAUUUGCACGUCAGUCUGAUCCCAAA